rnacentral:rRNA from 1 species
GGAUGUGAAAUCCCCGGGCUCAACCUGGGAACUGCAUUCGAAACUGGCAGGCUAGAGUCUUGUAGAGGAGGGUAGAAUUUCCAGGUGUAGCGGUGAAAUGCGUAGAGAUCUGGAGGAAUACCGGUGGCGAAGGCGGCCCCCUGGACAAAGACUGACGCUCAGGUGCGAAAGCGUGGGGAGCAAACAGGAUUAGAUACCCUGGUAGUCCACGCCGUAAACGAUGUCGAUUUGGAGGUUGUGCCCUUGAGGCGUGGCUUCCGGAGCUAACGCGUUAAAUCGACCGCCUGGGGAGUACGGCCGCAAGGUUAAAACUCAAAUGAAUUGACGGGGGCCCGCACAAGCGGUGGAGCAUGUGGUUUAAUUCGAUGCAACGCGAAGAACCUUACCUGGUCUUGACAUCCACAGAACUUUCCAGAGAUGGAUUGGUGCCUUCGGGAACUGUGAGACAGGUGCUGCAUGGCUGUCGUCAGCUCGUGUUGUGAAAUGUUGGGUUAAGUCCCGCAACGAGCGCAACCCUUAUCCUUUGUUGCCAGCGGUUAGGCCGGGAACUCAAAGGAGACUGCCAGUGAUAAACUGGAGGAAGGUGGGGAUGACGUCAAGUCAUCAUGGCCCUUACGACCAGGGCUACACACGUGCUACAAUGGCGCAUACAAAGAGAAGCGACCUCGCGAGAGCAAGCGGACCUCAUAAAGUGCGUCGUAGUCCGGAUUGGAGUCUGCAACUCGACUCCAUGAAGUCGGAAUCGCUAGUAAUCGUAGAUCAGAAUGCUACGGUGAAUACGUUCCCGGGCCUUGUACACACCGCCCGUCACACCAUGGGAGUGGGUUGCAAAAGAAGUAGGUAGCUUAACC